rnacentral:snoRNA from 1 species
UAACCAUGAUGGGGGUAGAGGGUUUGCAAUUCUUUGUACUUUUCUCACGCUUGAUAUAAAGUUUCACUCUCCUUUUGAGUAAAAAAAGAUAUUUACUUUUUCAAUGC